UCCUUCAUUCUCAGAUAAAACGUUGAUCCUGUUUCAGACGGCUCCAUUUCUCUAGAGACGCUGCAGGGGCAGCAAGUUAUGAAAGGAAGAUUAUUGGAGCAAAGCAGAGCAACAGCUGGUUUCAGGUUGAGGUCAGGAUGGGGAACACCUCACCCAGUGUUCUGGUCUCACUCUUGCUGAACACACUCCUCUGCUGUGGACAAACUCACGGUGCUGGGCUGACUAUUGAGCCCAACUCGUCAACGUUUUAUGUUGGAGAAUCUUUUACAUUUAACUGUGACAUG